rnacentral:rRNA from 1 species
UUGAGUUAGUGGCGGACGGGUGAGUAACGCGUGGGUAACCUGCCGUAUACCGGGGGAUAACACCUGGAAACAGGUGCUAAUACCGCAUAAGCGCACGGGACCGCAUGGUCCAGUGUGAAAAACCGAGGUGGUAUGCGAUGGACCCGCGUCUGAUUAGCCAGUUGGCAGGGUAACGGCCUACCAAAGCGACGAUCAGUAGCCGGCCUGAGAGGGUGGACGGCCACAUUGGGACUGAGACACGGCCCAAACUCCUACGGAAGGCAGCAG